AUCCAUGAGAGUUUAAAAUUCAGAGAGUUCUUCUGUGGCAAAGUUCUAAUAAUGCAUUCAUUAUCAAGAAAUUACAUUACAAUGUCUGUGGGGCUUACUUCAGUGAAAUUAGAAUUUCUUUGUUGGUAAUUUCAUCUUGAUUUUACUCCUCUCUAUUCAACUUCUUCAAGAUGAUGUUUUUCUAAAAAUAGGCACUAAUACAGUAGCUAACUGUUCUUAAUAUUUAAGAAAAUGCUGAGAUACAAAGAAUUAACCUUUGAAACCUUGUAUUUUAUCCACAGUUUCUAAAGCUCUACACAACUUCAAGCAUAUCUUUUUUUUUUUUUUUCACAGAUCUCAUCUUUAAGUUGGCAGCAGAGAUCUUGAAAUUAUAAAAGAGGGUUGGCUGACUGAGGUAUAUAUAACAUGAAGAUUCUUUUUUAUAUGGAAAGAAGGCACACACAGGUACUGCCCAAGCAUUUUCGUGAACCUCACAAGUUCCUAGGGAUAAAACCUGAGUGUGUACCAUCCUGCAAAUUCUGGAAGAAGGAGUCUGUGUUGUGCUGUGGACCACUGGGGAGUCACAGAUGAGAGGUGCCAGAAGGUGAGCUCCUCCUGUAGUAUGAACUGCAUGAGAAGCUGAGGGAACGUGAAUUGUGACUAGCAGCACUGCUUCAAAAUGUGAGACAAAAAAGCAUC
rnacentral:lncRNA from 1 species